rnacentral:lncRNA from 1 species
GUUGUCCCAGCUGCUCAGGAGGCUGAGGUGGGAGGAUCACUUGAGCCCAGAAGUUGGAGGCUGCAGUGAGCCAUGAUUGUGCCACUGCAUACCAGCCUGGGCAAUAGAACAAGACCCCCCAUCUCAGAAAAAAGGCCAGUGGCAGUUGAAAAUUAUUUAUUGUGUGCCUACUAUGUGCCAGGCACUGUUCCAGGCUCUUGAGUUUCAAGAUAAUCAACAUAGGAAAAAUCCCCUAUGCCUCCAGAACUUAUGUUCUAAUGAAGGGAGACAGACCAAAACCAAGAAUGAUCAAAGUCAGGGGUUAAGAAGUGCAACAGAGAGGCUGGGCAUGAGUCACCGUGCUUGGCCUCAAUGAAGCAUUUUUGAGUGCUAUUUAUAACAUUUAUAUUUAAUAUCGGCAUCCCUGAAAUUAAAAAUAUUUUAUUAAUUUUUUUAUUUUUUUAAUUUUUAAUUAAAUUUUAAUUUAAUUAAAUUUAAAUUAAAUUU